rnacentral:rRNA from 1 species
AUAAGAGGUCCCACCUGCCCUGUGACUUUAAGUUUAACGGCCGCGGUAUCCUAACCGUGCGAAGGUAGCGCAAUCAAUUGCCUUUUAAAUGAAGGCCUGUAUGAAUGGUAUAACGAGGGUUUAACUGUCUCUUUUUUCUAGUCAGUUAAACUGAUCUGUCCGUGCAGAAGCGGACAUUACUAUACAAGACGAGAAGACCCUAUGGAGCUUUAGACACCAGCCAACUGUGAAAUAGCGAUUAAUACACCUUAUUCCCAAACAUCCGCAGCCUCUGGUAAAGUGUCUUAGGUUGGGGCGACCACGGGAGAAAGAAAAGCUCCCGAGCAGAACAGGGUUCACCCUGGAACUAAGAACGACAGCUCUAAGUCACAAAAUAUUUGACUGAAAUGAUCCGGACUAACAACCGAUUAACGAACCAAGUUACCCUAGGGAUAACAGCGCAAUCCUCUCCCAGAGUCCCUAUCGACGAGGGGGUUUACGACCUCGAUGUUGGAUCAGGACAUCCUAAUGGUGCAGCCGCUAUUAAGGGUUCGUUUGUUCAACGAUUAAAGUCCUACGUGAUCUGAGUUCAGACCGGAGUAAUCCAGGUCGGUUUCUAUCUGUAA